rnacentral:miRNA from 1 species
UUGUAGAAUUAUUCAUUUUAUAUAAAAUGUGUCUGUAUCGCUUCUCGGCCUUUUGGCUAAGAUCAAGUAUAAAAUGUGUCUGUGAGGGUAUGACAUAUAGAAUUACGACUGACU